rnacentral:lncRNA from 1 species
GAGGGAGAGGAGGAUAGGAAGCAGGAAAGCGGGAGAGCUCGAGGGACAAGGGGGCUCGGUGUGUUUACACCAGGCACGGGCUACGAGCGUCCAUCCCGGCCCCUGGCUUGCGCUCCCGAAGAGGAGAGCAAGGCUGUUCUGGGAUCCGGCCGUCGUGCGGCAAGAGGCUUGUCUGUCCGGGUUGCCGGAACCAGGAGAACCCAGAGGGAAACCGAGGGAAAGGAGCGGCGCGUUUUACUAGAGAGAGCGCGAGCGGAAGAGGCGAGAGCAGGAGCGCGCGAGGGAGCAUCGAGCGCAGCGGAGACAUGAGGACCUACUGGCUGCACAGCGUCUGGGUGCUGGGCUUUUUCCUGUCCCUCUUCUCAUUGCAAGGAAAUUUGAUGUGCUGCCAUAGCAGUUGGAGAUGGAGAGAAGUAGGCAACUGUGAUAAGGUAAGUGAAACCAAUUUUUACAGCACAGCAAUGGUUACUGGAAUCUGUCAACAUGUAGUGACUUUCUUCACUGAAUAUGCCACGGGGAGACAUUUCAAUAUCUUCCAUCACCCCCGCUUGACUUGUGAGUCUUUAUCCAGAAUUUCUAAAUAACCAAUAAGUAACCUAGGAUUAAGAAAUAUUUAAAUGUUUACAUUUGUAUCUCUAUGUGAUGUUUAGUUAUAUCUUUAAGGUAAG